GGUUCAUGUGCCGCUUCACGGAGUAGAGAGGGCGAAUCGUCUCCUCCCCGUCGUAGAUCACCCAAACUCAGCUUCUGCAUCGCAAAAUCCACAGAGAUCGGUUAACGGGAAAAGAUUGGCAACAGAUUCUAGAGGUUAAAACAUUCCGUGUGGCCCUUUUGCCCAAGGAGAAGCUGGUUGAUAC